rnacentral:sRNA from 1 species
GGACAGCAAUUGAUCUGGACGGCUGUAAUGGAGAGGUAAUCGAAUGCUAUUCUAUAUAUAUUGUGAAAGUGAAAAUGUUAAUUAAAAAAAAAAAAAAAAAAAAAAAACCCCAGUACCCUUUUUAGCCUCCGCCUUCGGCUAUACCUUCGACUUAAUCCUGACCCUGAUAUCUGUCUUUGGUUCAUAAACAAGCCCGCCAAUGCUCUGUUUCGGUAUCUUCCAGCCCAUACCCUUGACCGGCUGAAUAUCCCACAUUGCCAAUAAACCAGCGACGAAUCCCAACGUCACCCUUUCAGCAAAUUUUCCAUCUUGGCUCACGGUAUCUCCACCGCCACUCUCCACAGUCCAUAUCUCUGGUAUUUUAAGCUCCGGUUGGGAGAGGGACGACUCUCGCUUUUCAGACGUUGCACCUUUGCCAGAUGGCUUGUUGCUAUCCACAUCCUUUUCCAUUAAGAACCUUUCCGGGUCGAAUUCUUCCGGGUCUCCGAAGUAGUGUGAAUCGGUGUUGUGAAGAGCAUGGGGUAUUGCGAUAUAUUCCCCCUUUCUAAAUUCAUAGGUUUGCUGUUUUCGGUUCGCGAUUUUUGCAUCAGACGCAGAUUCGGUGAGUUUGAAAUCUUCGGUGAUCUUCUGGUAGGUGACUGGACAAGAAUGUAGGCGAAGAGUCUCGUAGUAUGUCGCUUUGAGCAAAGGGC